UAUUCUUCCUCUGCUUUUUACUUUCGCUCUUUUUUUUUUUUAUUAUUAUUUUAUUAUUAAAACAAUCUGUGUUGUGCUGCACAAACUCGAAGAGUUAAAAUUUUGACUGCAAUCGAAGUAAGCCUUUUUAUAUACGUUAUUAUUAUUCUUUUUUUUUUUUUUCACUGAAAACGUUUUUAUUAUUCUUAUUGAAGGGUUCAAAUUAUGUCAAUGGGGCGAGUAUAUUAUGCCGCUUUUCUUUUAGCGCGUGGAAGGUGUAUAUUCACUAAACAUAGUGAAAAGCCAUGUGUUAUGGGUGAACCAAAUCCAAUGUGAAAACCUGUCCCAUUUAUCCAACUGUAAUAAUAGAAGGACAAAAGUUUUAGGCAAAGAAGUAGCCUAACGCUAUUAAUACAUCAUUAAAUAAUUUUAUUGUUAAUGCCAUGUCUUUUAACGAGAACCUGACUGUUAAACAUUAUUCACAAAUAGAAAUUUGAUAAAGUCACAAGAACAAUGAUGCUCUAUUUUCUAUUGUUGUCCAAAAUGCCUCUCCUAUAAGAAAAACUCAUUUUCUUUUCCCUUCCUCUUUUUUCUCUUCCUCAUUCUCACUUCACCACCAAUUUUCUCUCUUCCUCUCUAAAUAAAUUACUAAUUGUAGAAAAUUUUUGCACUAAAAUCUUGUAACAAAGAUAUUUAUUCAGAUGAAGAAAACAAAACUGGAGUUAGAUUGUAUAAAAUUUGAGGAUAAACACCAAGUAUUGGUUCAUUUUGAAGAAAAUAAAUGGAAAUCAUCAUCAACGUUCUUAGAGGAAGUUUAUCAAGAUGGGAGAUUGAUAGCUAUAUUAGUAGGUGGAUUUCUUUUUCUAAAUUGUUGGUGGGAGGUAAUUUUGUUAAGAUUCUUUAGUAUUGUAAUUUUGUAGCCCAUCACGUGGCUAAUUGGACGUAUGCCAACAAAGUAUCUGGUUUGAUCGAGGUGUCAACAAUUCUAGAAAAUUUGUUAUAUAAUGACUAUGAGAUUUAAUUUUUGUAAUUUAUAAAAGGUUAAUUUCAAAAAAAAAAAAAAAAAAAUUAAGGGACGAUAUUUGUAUAAAGGCUUUAUAAAAUCUAACAAUUUUAAAAAUUGCAAUCAGCCUAUUGAAAUUAAAUGUUGCCUUUGCCCAAUAGUACUAUGACAAUGCUAAGCCGAAUGUGAUAAAAGCUUGCAAUGCCUUUCCAUUUGUUUGUGAGAAAAAGAAGACAAAACAUAAAGCCAAAAAUAAUAAGAUAUUGUCAGAGGAAUUUAGACAACACUAAAUCAUACGAGUAUUCAAGCAAAAUAAUAAAAAAAAAAAACCUCAUUAACAGUCAUGUAAGUACUCACCUAAAAUAA